rnacentral:rRNA from 1 species
AACGUAGGGGGCAAGCGUUGCUCGGAAUCACUGGGUUUAAAGGGCUCGCAGGCGGGCAUAUUAGUCGUGGGUCUAAUCUCCGAGCUUAACUCGGAUACGCCUGCGAUACUGUAUGCCUCGAGGGAGAGAUAGGAAACAGGAAUUCCCGGUGUAACGGUGGAAUGUGUAGAUAUCGGGAGGAACACCAAUAGCGAAGGCAAGUUUCUAGCUCUUUUCUGACGCUCAGGAGCGAAAGCGUGGGUAGCAAACAGGAUUAGAUACCCUGGUAGUCCACGCCCUAAACGUUGGGUGCUAGGUGUCGGAGAAUAAUCUUCGGUGCCGCAGAGAAAUCGUUAAGCACCCCACCUGGGGAGUACGGUCGCAAGGCUGAA